GACGAACGCUGGCGGCGUGCUUAACACAUGCAAGUCGAACGGUAAGGCCCCUUCGGGGGUACACGAGUGGCGAACGGGUGAGUAACACGUGAGCAACCUGCCCUUGACUCUGGAAUAACAGUUGGAAACAGCUGCUAAUACUGGAUAUUCAUCGUCUCCUUCCUGGGGGGUGGUGGAAAGCUCCGGCGGUUAGGGAUGGGCUCGCGGCCUAUCAGCUUGUUGGUGAGGUAAUGGCUCACCAAGGCUUCGACGGGUAGCCGGCCUGAGAGGGCGACCGGCCACACUGGGACUGAGAUACGGCCCAGACUCCUACGGGAGGCAGCAGUGGGGAAUAUUGCACAAUGGGCGCAAGCCUGAUGCAGCAACGCCGCGUGCGGGAUGACGGCCUUCGGGUUGUAAACCGCUUUCAGUAGGGACGAAGGGUGACUGACGGUACCUACAGAAGAAGGACCGGCUAACUACGUG
rnacentral:rRNA from 1 species